rnacentral:tRNA from 1 species
GUGGGUAUAGCUCAGUGGUAGAGCGCAUGCCUAGCAUGCGCAAGGUCCUGGAUUCAAUCCCCAGUACCUCCA